GAGGAUUUAGCUCAAUGGCAUAAGCACCUGCCUUGCAAGCAGGUGGUCAUGAGUUCAAUCCCCAGUACCCAUUA
rfam:Cavia porcellus supercont2_52 genomic scaffold, whole genome shotgun sequence.